rnacentral:lncRNA from 1 species
ACCAUUUCUAAGAGUGUAAAAUUCUUUAAACAAGUAAAGAGGCAUUCAAAAUUAGGAUCUUUCCCCUCUUUAGAUUUAGUUAGAAACCAGAGAAAAACAGAUUUUAUUCAGAGACAAAAUUCUCACAUAUACAGGCUGGGCUGCGUGUAAUAGCAAAUGAGAGUUGUGUGUCAUAUCAAGAGAGAUUACAGUUUAGGAGGAUAAGAAAAAAGCUGACAAAAAACAGAGAAAAUUAAAAUGUUUUACAUUUGGCAUUUAUUAUUUCACCGUCUAAAAUGAAUGUAAUUUAAAAUAAAAAUGCCCUACCUGUUGCUACCUGCUUGAUACAAGUCAUGUUAAUACCAGGGAGAAAAUAAUUCAAAUUCUUGCAUCCAGGACAAUUCUAGUAGCCCACUGUGGUCUACACAAACUAAAAGAAAUAUUAUUAUGCUAUUCUAUAAAAAUCCUACAUUUCGAUGUUUUCAAGAAAAUUCAUGAUUUAAAAGUUUACACUUCUGCCAUUAAAUAAUUUAUACAGUGCUUAUAAAAAGGACAGUUGAGAUUAUAACUUCUGGGAAAAGUAUUUCACACCACUGUAACUAAAAACUUGCAUCAAGUUACUUGAUGUACCUUAUGUAUAAAAAGGGCAUUUUUUAAAAGUAGUGUCCACAUGUCAUGGCAACACUUUGAGUUACUUUAACUGCUGUUAAAAAAGUUCAUUUGAGAGCUCACAGAGUUCUUUAAGUUUGUCAAACUUUGAUCCCCACUCGUGGAGGCAAUCAUAAUUUAGAUCUUCGUCAUCACUAAUGGAGUCUAAGGAACUAAGGCUCUCCGCAAGAGAGCAUUCUCCUUCGAGGCAGUAAAAAUGAACAGUGUCAGCUGGGAAACUCUGUAGGUCAUUGUCUGCAUCACAGAUGAUUUGAGAAACAUAGUCCUUGAAGUCUGGAACACUGUCAACAGCUGAUGUUGCUUGUUUUUGAUGUGCACAUUUUGGUACUGAGUCUCUUUUUCGGCCAGUGGGCGUCCUGGAGUAUGGAGAAGCUGCCCUCAAGGACAGGUGGGGAAGGUUACGUUCUCCACCUCCUUCUUCAUUAUAAUUUAAGACAUUUUCUCUAACAUCCUCCCAGCUUUCACGCUCUUCAGGAAUGUGGUAAAUUCCUCCUUUCCGAAACCCUGAACUUCCCCACUGACUCCACACCGUGUAAGAGACCAAGAGAGCUGGAAGAAAAAAAAUAGACAUAUUUGUUGUAUGAAGUAUGACAAAACACAACGCAUGACAAACAAGCAGUUAUGUGACUCCUGAGGUAUUAAAUCACCUCUUAAUUUGACAAACAACUACCCGUAAGAAAAGUGUAAUUGUUAAUAUAUAAACAGCUUAUAUUCAGGAAGGUAAAGAGUCAUCUAUGUAUAUUACAUCAUAAACUUCAUUAAAAGGGUAUUUUACUUACCUAAAGGAAUCCAUUUAAAUAGAAGGCAUUUUGGCCAGUCUCUGGCCUUUCACCAAUCCUGAGUAAAUAAGAUACCCAAAGUAAGUAAAACACUGUUUUAAUGAAGGUUGCAAGUGUAAUAUAAUCACUGGAGUCUUUACUAUUCUAAGAUGCAGAUGCAGUUUUUCUUAUUGAUAUGAGAAGCAGUUCUACGGCGAACUAAAAUUUUGGCCAAGGUGUGCCUAAAAGUGCACACAUUGUGAACAUUUCUUUCUGCCCUGUACUCUUAAAUAGGCUGGCUUUUGGGAGUGUAAAUCCUCUAGAGAAGGAUCUCUGCCUUCCUAAUACGUGAGUAACACAUGGCAGCUGUAGGUCCUAAUGAAGGUUUGGGAAUUUCAGAUGGAUAGGGCUGCACACAUAGCUGGAAAAUCCUUAUUUAAGGAAGACUGAAAGCAAGUGAUUCUGGAAGAGAGAAGUCCUAAAUUUGCUUGAAGUGACUUCAAGCAAGUAAACUGUAAAUAUGUGUCGAUUCCUGUCUCUUAGCAUCCUCAAAUGAACUCCAAUUAGUGAUCUCCAGAAAAGGAGAAACACUAAUCACAACAUGAGGGUAAGCAGACUUGAUUCCAACAAAGAACAAGGUACAAGAUUAAAACAUAAAAAUUAAAAAAAAAAAUAGUAAAACAACAACAAUGAAUACUUGUUUUCCUACCUAGGAAGACAAGGAGACACAUGCUGAUUGCCAGAAUAGAGCCAGAGCUGAGCCCAACAGGUCUUCCAGCCUUCACCUGGCUGAUUUCACACCAUCUUCCCUUGUAGCCUUCGGGGCACUGGCAGAUGGUCUUGUCCUGGGACUGAGCCACGCAGGUACCCCCAUUCCUGCAGGUCCAGUGUCCGCAGGGUGAUGAGGUACAGUGUCUGAGCCCAGUAAGGCUGUCAACCACCUCCACUUUCCCAGCUGGACACCUGGCCAAGAAAAGCACAAGGGAUCUGUCAGGCAGGCGAUGCACCUGGAGCUGCAUGCUGCAUUGUGCAAAGCUUGUUACUACUUCAUUAAAGGCAGUGAUUACAGAAUGCUCAAGCAAACCACACGUUGACAUUGAGAGCAUCAAACAGAUGCAAAAUCUAACAGUGAGCUAGUAGGCUCAUGAAAAUGUGAACAUAUAUCCAGAAGAUAAGCACAAGAG